ACGAAUUCGCCCUUAGAGUUUGAUCAUGGCUCAGGACGAACGCUGGCGGCGUGCCUAACACAUGCAAGUCGAGCGGAGAAUGCGGAUAUGUUUACAUAGAAGCGUUCUUAGCGGCGGACGGGUGAGUAACACGUGGGUAACCUGCCUCAAAGUGGGGGAUAGCCUUUCGAAAGGAAGAUUAAUACCGCAUAAGCCUACAGUGCCGCAUGGUACAGCAGGAAAAGGAGCAAUCCGCUUUGAGAUGGACCCGCGGCGCAUUAGCUAGUUGGUGAGGUAACGGCUCACCAAGGCGACGAUGCGUAGCCGACCUGAGAGGGUGAUCGGCCACAUUGGAACUGAGACACGGUCCAGACUCCUACGGGAGGCAGCAGUGGGGAAUAUUGCACAAUGGGCGAAAGCCUGAUGCAGCAACGCCGCGUGAGUGAUGAAGGCCUUCGGGUCGUAAAGCUCUUUGAUCAGGGAUGAUAAUGACAGUACCUGAAAAACAAGCCACGGCUAACUACGUGCCAGCAGCCGCGGUAAUACGUAGGUGGCGAGCGUUGUCCGGAAUUACUGGGCGUAAAGGAUGCGUAGGUGGAUAUUUAAGUGGGAUGUGAAAUCCCCGGGCUCAACCCGGGAACUGCAUUCCAAACUGGGUAUCUAGAGUGCAGGAGAGGAAAGCGGAAUUCCUAGUGUAGCGGUGAAAUGCGUAGAUAUUAGGAGGAACACCAGUGGCGAAGGCGGCUCUCUGGACUGUAACUGACACUGAGGCAUGAAAGCGUGGGUAGCAAACAGGAUUAGAUACCCUGGUAGUCCACGCCGUAAACGAUGGGUACUAGGUGUAGGAGGUAUCGACCCCUUCUGUGCCGUCGUUAACCCAAUAAGUACCCCGCCUGGGGAGUACGGUCGCAAGACUAAAACUCAAAGGAAUUGACGGGGGCCCGCACAAGCCGCGGAGCAUGUGGUUUAAUUCGAAGCAACGCGAAGAACCUUACCUAGACUUGACAUCUCCGAAUUACCCUUAACCGGGGAAGCCCUUCG
rnacentral:rRNA from 1 species